GGAAAAGAAACUAACAAGGAUUCCCCUAGUAACGGCGAGUGAAGCGGGAAGAGCUCAAAUUUGAAAUCUGGUAGCCUUCGGCUGCCCGAGUUGUAAUCUAGAGAAGUGUUUUCCGUGCCGGCCCAUGUACAAGUCCCUUGGAACAGGGCGUCAUAGAGGGUGAGAAUCCCGUCCUUGACAUGGACCCCCGGUGCUUUGUGAUACACUUUCAACGAGUCGAGUUGUUUGGGAAUGCAGCUCAAAAUGGGUGGUGAAUUCCAUCUAAAGCUAAAUAUUGGCGAGAGACCGAUAGCGAACAAGUACCGUGAGGGAAAGAUGAAAAGCACUUUGGAAAGAGAGUUAAACAGUACGUGAAAUUGUUGAAAGGGAAACGAUUGAAGUCAGUCAUGCUCUUUGGAUUCAGCCGUUCUGCGGUGUAUUUCCAUUGAGUGGGGUCAACAUCAGUUUUGAUCGCUGGAUAAAGGCACUAGGAAGGUAGCACUCUCGGGUGAACUUAUAGCCUAGCGUCAUAUACAGUGAUUGGGACUGAGGAACGCAGCAUGCCUUUAUGGCCGGGAUUCGUCCACGUACAUGCUUAGGAUGUUGACAUAAUGGCUUUAAACGACCCGUCUUG
rnacentral:rRNA from 1 species